ACACUCAUAUCAUGUUGAAUCACAAGUUCUCAUAUGAUCACUGAAGUUAAGCAACAUUGAGCCUGUUCAGUACCUAGAUGGAUGACUGCUUGGGAAUACCAGGUGCUGUAA